GACAAGAUAUUUCUUGAAUUAAAUUUCCUUCAUAAAAAUAAUCAACUUAUUUCUUUUUCUAGCUCAAAUUGGUCAUUCAGUCUUCUUCUUUCUCUUCCUUAUUCUUCUGUUUUCUUAUCCACAACUUUGGCACAUAAGCUUCUCGACUUCAAUUGAUUUUCACUUGCUAAGUCUUUAUUCUGUCAAAAAAAAGAAAAACUAUUUUUUUGGCUGUUUAGUUUGCUCCCCGAUGUUGCUCCAACUAUAGCUCUUGCAAUGACCACUCAAAUUCAGAGAAUAAGCUUCUAGAUAGUAUUUUUAAUUUGUGACAUGCACUGUCUUUCUCUCUGUUCUUUGCCGACGUUGAUUCUCCUCAGCUUUUAUAGUUACUUCAUCGAGAAAAUUGCAAACUGAUGAACUUCCCUACUACCCACCUCUUCCAAAAAUAUAUACCUUUCGUUGUUUAUAUUACCAAUCUUGAUUUCAU
rnacentral:lncRNA from 1 species